rnacentral:rRNA from 1 species
GACGAACGCUGGCGGCGUGCUUAACACAUGCAAGUCGAACGGAACGGCCCUGCUUUUGUGGGCUGCGCUAGUGGCCAACGGGUGAGUAGCCCGUGAGUACCGUGUCCCUGACUUUGGGAUAACUUCAGGCAACUUGGGCUCAUAGCGCCUAGGAGUUCCUGCUGCUUGGUGGGGGUUGGAUAGUUUCGGUGGUUGGGGAUGGACUCGCGGCGUAUGAGCUUGUUGGUGGGGUAGUGGCUUACCAAGGCUUUGACGGGUAGCAGGGCUGCGAGGCUGAGCGGCCAAAUUGGGACUGAGAUGCGGCCCAGACCCGUACGGUACGCAGGGGAGGAGAAUAGUAUACAAUGGGCGGAAGCCUAAUCUAGCAACGCCGCGUGCGGGAUGACGGCAUGCGGGUUGUAUUCCACUUUCGCCUUAGACGAAGCGUGAGUGACGGUAAUGGGUAAAGAAGCACCGGCUAACUACGUG